rnacentral:rRNA from 1 species
CGUAGGUGGCAAGCGUUGUCCGGAUUUAUUGGGUUUAAAGGGUGCGUAGGCGGUUCCAUAAGUCAGUGGUGAAAUCCGGCAGCUUAACUGUCGAUGUGCCAUUGAUACUGCAGGACUUGAGUACAGACGAGGUAGGCGGAAUUGACGGUGUAGCGGUGAAAUGCUUAGAUAUCGUCAAGAACACCGAUAGCGAAGGCAGCUUACUAGACUGUAACUGACGCUGAUGCACGAAAGUGUGGGGAUCAAACAGGACUAGAUACCCUGGUAGUCCACACUGUAAACGAUGAUUACUCGAUGUUGGCGAUACACAGCCAGCGUCUUAGCGAAAGCGAUAAGUAAUCCACCUGGGGAGUACGCCGGCAACGGUG